rnacentral:lncRNA from 10 species
AGGAUGCAGUACUUUGGUGUAUUCAACAUCUUUUCCAACCUCCUCCCAGUGUGCCUUUCUCUCCUGCAGAAGCUGGAAAGGUCAGGUGCAGUGUAGCUCUGCAGUUGUAGUUGCAGCUGUGGCCUGUGGACACUGGACUGCUGCCUGUACGUUGUGUUCUGAGGCCAGCAGGUGCAGCUCAUCUUCUGAUUCCCCAGCUUCCUCACUGAAGUAGAGGUAACGGCUCCCCUGGUGAGUGAGCUCUGCAGUGACACUCUGCGAAUUCCUCCUCAAGACCCAGAAAAGGCCACGCUGAUCAAGUCACUUUCCAGCUCAUUGACCAUAGAAUGAUACCCAACAUCCUUCAUGUGCCUACUGUCCCUCGAUGACUUAGACCCUUGCCUCCUUUGGGCACACAUC